CAUGGUCACGCACGAGGUCGCGCAGCGUGUGGCACACGCGCGGCAGGACAAAGAGCACCAGGCGCGCAUCCAGGUAGCGUGGGGACACUUCCGGCGCUGUCUGAUGACGUUGCCGGCCGGAACCGAGAGGCUCGCAGGGAAACCGGCCGAGGCCCUAGACCCUGUCUCUGAAAGCGUCGGCCUUGAACUGGAGAACCCGGACUCACGGUACCGCGUUUUUAAACCAGCAUCUCUGGUGUACCUUGCGGAGCCAGUUUUGUCCUGAAGGUCGUCCCCGCGCCGCAGCUUUUUCGCUUGCCCCAGUACCACAGGCCGGGUGCCGGGAUGAGCCUUCAGAGGAUACCGCUCCGUGGUAGAGCGGCCUGGCAGGCGCGAAGCGCUGGGCUCAUCUCCAGCAGCACACUCACACACCAAAAAACCAAAACCAAAACCGUGGGCUGAGCAUGUAGAGCACUGGCGUAGCGUGUGGGAGACCCUGGGUUCCACCUCCAGCCCCGAGGCGGUCGCUAAGGAAUAGGUAGUCCCAAGAGGCUGCCUAGCAGCACCCUGUGGGCUAUGAAGACUACUUUAUUUUGUAUAUGACUUUUGAAAAUUGUAGAUGGACACAAUACCUUUUUCUUUAUUUUUAUGUGGUGCUUAGGAUGGAACCCCUGCCUCACACGUGAUAAGCAAGCGAUUUAUCACUGAGCCACAACCUCAGCCCUGAAGAAUGACACCUAAGGAGCCAGGAAACAUUUUGGUGCUCUAGGGCCACCCGGUGGGCUGGGCCAGCAAAACACUGUUGGAGAUUUUUGUUUUUGAAAUAGAAUCCUGCUGUAUUGCCCAGGCUGGCCUUUAACUCGGAAUCCUCCCACCUCAGCCUAGUUAGCUGGGAUUGCAAAGGUGCACCCCUGGGACAGCAAUUCUUGUCUACAGACAAGAUUUGUAAUCCCAGCAACUCUGGAGGCUGAGGCAGGAUUGCUAGAUCAAGGACAGCCUCAGGAAUUUAGUGAGACCCUAAGCAAGGCUUUCCCUUUCCACAUUCACCCUUAUAUCUUAUAAGGAAGAAAACAGGUUUGAGGUUUCAAGUUAACGCUUAAGCCAGGGAUGGUGGUGCAUACCUGUAAUCCCACUCAGAAGCUGAGGCAGGAGGAUCAUGAGUUCAAAGGCAGCCUCAGCAACUUGAGGCCCUGAGCAAUUUAAUGAGAACCUGCCCUGAAAUGUGUUUUAAUUUAAAAGACUGUGUGAGAGUCCUGGGGAUGUGAUUCAGUGAUAAGCACCCUCUUCUUACUUUUUGGUUCCCUCAAAUACUUCCUGACUGCAGUUCUGUUCCCAUUUCUAAAGCACCUCAGGCCCUCCUCCACUACCAAAGCCAAGGACACAAGAAACUAGAGACCAAAGGUUUCACAAGAAACUGAUCUUUACUCAACAAAGUUCUACACAAGUGGAAUCUCACGCCACCUUGGCGCCAAUCCCCAGCACAGCACGGUAACAAAUGGACAGACCUGGGAGCCUGCAGGGAAAAGAGGGUGAGGAGGGACCUGGGGCAAGGGGAGAGGGACUGUGGAUCAAGGCCAAUCUGGGUCCACAGCCCUAGAUAGGGAAUAAAGUUGAGAAGCUGAAACUUCAUUGUGCAAAAACCAACCAAAAAUAAAUUAAAAAAUUAAAUAGCUUUCUUAAAAAAAAAAAAAA